GGAAGCUUUCGAACGACAAGAGUGUCAGGCUGCGAUAUUUUGUGAAAAGAAACAGCAUGUUAUUGCUGUAUUGUUGCGAUCAUCAUUACGACUUGUGUUUUACUAUACCAAGUUUACCUUUUUUAAAUAUUUGCAUGGGACAUGUUGUCAUUUUAGCUUGAUAAAUAAUGCGUCUGAGCGAACGAAUUGUACUUAUAUUCCCAAUAGCGAGGCUCUUCUUUCUAACUUGGAUGACGUUAAAUCUCCGUGUAUCAUCAACGUGAAAACAAGCGCAAUAUUUAAGGUUGGUAUACUACAAUGCAUUACAGUUACCUUGUUAUUUAGUCAAAUUAUUAUCCGCUUUUUUUUAACCUUGUACUGUAAUUUUAUAAAUACACUGUACAAAAUUAAUAUGGCGUAAUAUUUGUGUUUAUAAAUGGCUCUAGUUUGACUCUAUUGUGUGUGUCUGUGUACUGUGAUACAUAUGUACAUGCUUUGAGUUAAACAAAUUGUUUAAUAAAUUUUUGCUGAAGUAUGAUGCCUGUUUGUAUCUAGUUGUGGAUAGAUUUUUACAUAUAUGUGCAUACAAUAGUGAUAUUUUUCAAUUUUCAUCUGUAAAAUAUUGCCAUAUUUGUGUGUUGUUCUAUAAAUAUUACUGUAAAUAGUGACACACUUUUGCAUUAGAUUUCUAAUUUUAGAGAUUACAGUUUAUGUACAAAAUAAUAAAAUAAAAAUUUUCUUGUUAUGAUUUUGUAGAAAGAGAUCUACUUCAGUGGUUGGCUGGUCUUGAAGCUGGUCAGGAUGGAUAUGGUAAUGAAGGUGAUAGGGCAGAAAGUGGUGACCAGUUAAGUGAUGAGGAUGAAAGUGACGAGGACGAAAUCACCCAUGCUGUACCAUUCAAGUGCAUCGGUGCUGCUCAUGAGAAAAAUUACCAACAUCAACAGCAUACCUUGUCCUUCAUGGACAAGAUAAACCAGUGAAUGUAAGAAUACGGCUAGAGAAUCCUGGAAUGGACCCAAGUGCAAUUGCAAUUGAUGUAGACUAUGGAACUGGAUGGACACACAUUGGUUAUCUUGCUUCUCAACUAUGCGAGUAUUUGCACCGACUAAUUGCCACUGGAGAUAUCUUAGAGGUCUAUGUUCAGCAUAUCAAGCAUAGGGUUGACUUUUUUAAAAUAGGAUUUUAUCAGAAAAUUUUCAUAAAGCGAUGUGGUGAGUGGGAGACUCAAGUGGUAAGGAAGAGCACAAGUGUACAUUGACAGAUGUUUGUGAUAUAAUUGUAACUGACUAGGUUUAGCAAGUUAUAGAAAUGAUCUUAUUUCAAUUAGGUAACUUUUUAGAUUUUCAUAAACAAAAACUACAGUAGGUUAAUCAUAAGUGGGUGUGCACAAUUAAAAUAAAAAAGUCUGUCAUGCACACUCAUGCAAUUAAGACAAGUACAUAAUUGUAACAUGUGCUGUACUAAAUGAAGAAAUAAAUAGUUUGUACAUUCACUUGACC